rnacentral:rRNA from 1 species
GAUGAACGCUGGCGGCGUGCCUAAUACAUGCAAGUCGAGCGAACAGACGAGGAGCUUGCUCCUCUGACGUUAGCGGCGGACGGGUGAGUAACACGUGGAUAACCUACCUAUAGGACUGGGAUAACUUCGGGAAACCGGAGCUAAUACCGGAUAAUAUAUUGAACCGCAUGGUUCAAUAGUGAAAGACGGUUUUGCUGUCACUUAUAGAUGGAUCCGCGCUGCAUUAGCUAGUUGGUAAGGUAACGGCUUACCAAGGCAACGAUGCGUAGCCGACCUGAGAGGGUGAUCGGCCACACUGGAACUGAGACACGGUCCAGACUCCUACGGGAGGCAGCAGUAGGGAAUCUUCCGCAAUGGGCGAAAGCUUGACGGAGCAACGCCGCGUGAGUGAUGAAGGUCUUCGGAUCGUAAAACUCUGUUAUUAGGGAAGAACAAAUGUGUAAGUAACUAUGCACGUCUUGACGGUACCUAAUCAGAAAGCCACGGCUAACUACGUG